rnacentral:rRNA from 1 species
UUUUGUGGGGGCAAGUCUGGUGCCAGCAGCCGCGGUAAUUCCAGCUCCAAUAGCGUAUAUUAAAGUUGUUGCAGUUAAAAAGCUCGUAGUUGAAUUUCGAGACCGGUUUACUGGUCGUGCUUUUGUACGUACUGGUAUUAUUGGUUUCUCCUUUCUGACGAAUCAUAAUGCCAUUAAUUUGGUGUUUUGGGGAAUCAGGACUGUUACUUUGAAAAAAUUAGAGUGUUUAAAGCAGGCUCACGCUUGAAUACAUUAGCAUGGAAUAACGAAAUAGGACGUUUGAUUUUAUUUUGUUGGUUUCUAGGAUCGACGUAAUGAUUAAUAGGGAUAGUUGGGGGCAUUAGUAUUCAAUUGUCAGAGGUGAAAUUCUUGGAUUUAUUGAAGACUAACUACUGCGAAAGCAUUUGCCAAGGAUGUUUUCAUUAAUCAAGAACGAAAGUUAGGGGAUCGAAGACGAUCAGAUACCGUCGUAGUCUUAACCAUAAACUAUGCCGACUAGGGAUCGGAUGAUGUUAA